rnacentral:rRNA from 1 species
CACGGCGGGUGCUAACGUCCGUCGUGAAGAGGGAAACAACCCAGACCGCCAGCUAAGGUCCCAAAGUCAUGGUUAAGUGGGAAACGAUGUGGGAAGGCCCAGACAGCCAGGAUGUUGGCUUAGAAGCUGCCAUCAUUUAAAGAAAGCGUAAUAGCUCACUGGUCGAGUCGGCCUGCGCGGAAGAUGUAACGGGGCUAAACCAUGCACCGAAGCUGCGGCAGCGAACGUAUCACCCAAGACAACUUUACGGAGUUGACGAUUGACGGAGCGAAGCGACGUCAAAGCGUUCAUUAAAGUCGAGUUGGCUUAGGGAUACGUUCGUUGGGUAGGGGAGCGUUCUGUAAGCCUGUGAAGGUGGCCUGUGAGGGUUGCUGGAGGUAUCAGAAGUGCGAAUGCUGACAUAAGUAACGAUAAAGCGGGUGAAAAGCCCGCUCGCCGGAAGACCAA